rnacentral:siRNA from 1 species
UUGGUCCGCAUCGGUUUGUUGUC